UUACACAUGCAAGUCGAGGGGUAUAGUUCUUCGGGAUUAGAGACCGGCGCACGGGUGCGUAACGCGUAUGCAAUCUGCCUUUCACAGAGGGAUAGCCCAGAGAAAUUUGGAUUAAUACCUCAUAGUAUUACGACUCGGCAUCGAGAUGUAAUUAAAGUCACAACGGUGAAAGAUGAGCAUGCGUCCCAUUAGCUAGUUGGUAAGGUAACGGCUUACCAAGGCAACGAUGGGUAGGGGUCCUGAGAGGGAGAUCCCCCACACUGGUACUGAGACACGGACCAGACUCCUACGGGAGGCAGCAGUGAGGAAUAUUGGACAAUGGGCGCAAGCCUGAUCCAGCCAUGCCGCGUGCAGGAUGACGGUCCUAUGGAUUGUAAACUGCUUUUGUACGAGAAGAAACACUCCUAUGUAUAGGAGCUUGACGGUAUCGUAAGAAUAAGGAUCGGCUAACUCCGUGCCAGCAGCCGCGGUAAUACGGAGGAUCCAAGCGUUAUCCGGAAUCAUUGGGUUUAAAGGGUCCGUAGGCGGUUUAGUAAGUCAGUGGUGAAAGCCCAUCGCUCAACGGUGGAACGGCCAUUGAUACUGCUGAACUUGAAUUAUUAGGAAGUAACUAGAAUAUGUAGUGUAGCGGUGAAAUGCUUAGAUAUUACAUGGAAUACCAAUUGCGAAGGCAGGUUACUACUAAUGGAUUGACGCUGAUGGACGAAAGCGUGGGGAGCGAACAGGAUUAGAUACCCUGGUAGUCCACGCCGUAAACGAUGGAUACUAGCUGUUGGAAGCAAUUUCAGUGGCUAAGCGAAAGUGAUAAGUAUCCCACCUGGGGAGUACGUUCGCAAGAAUGAAACUCAAAGGAAUUGACGGGGGCCCGCACAAGCGGUGGAGCAUGUGGUUUAAUUCGAUGAUACGCGAGGAACCUUACCAAGGCUUAAAUGUAGAUUGACCGGUUUGGAAACAGAUCUUUCGCAAGACAAUUUACAAGUGCUGCAUGGUUGUCGUCAGCUCGUGCCGUGAGGUGUCAGGUUAGUCCUAUACGAGCGCAACCCUGUUGUUAGUUGCCAGCGAGUCAGUCGGGACUCUAACAAGACUGCCAGUGCAACUGUGAGAAAGGUGGGGAUGACGUCAAUCAUCACGGCCUUACCCUGGGCUACAACG
rnacentral:rRNA from 1 species